CUAUGAAGCUUAUUUCGAGUCUGUCAGAUUAUGCUUCCUUCCUCACUAUCUUAAACUUUCAUAUUCAGUUAUACUCGUAUAUAAAUGUUUUAUUAUUUAUUUAAAAAAGAUUUUUAUUUAUAACCCAAUUUGGGGCUUGACCCCAAGAAACUUGCAGAGGCUUUAACCCCCUGAGCCACCCAGGCACCCCUAUAAAUGUUUUAUUAAAACAAUUUUUACAGGGAUGCCUGGGUGGCUCAGUUGGUUAAGUGACUGCCUUCGGCUCAGGUCAUGAUCCUGGAGUCUUGGGAUCGAGUCCCGCCAUCGGGCUCCCUGCUCAGCAGGAAGUCUUUUUCUCCCUCUGACCCUCCCACUUCUCAUGCUGUCUCUCUCAAAUAAAUAAAUCUUUAAAAAAUAUAUCUAUUUAAAAAAAAAAAACAAAAAGAAAUGAUUUUUACAACAUUCUUGUCUGAGGCACUACAUAACAAGUUCCCAAUAAGUUCAAAUGAAUUAUGGCUUCAUUUCUUAACAGUGAUUUGUUGACCUGAACCACAAUGCAACAGUGUCAAACUAGAACUAAAACUUAAAUCUCCCCAUUUCUAAUUCAAGUUACUAUCAAUUUGGCCAAAAAGCCUAUAUAAGAUUCAAGGUAAUGGGUCUGGGCCAUACUCUGUGUCUUCUACUGAGCACAUACCUAGAUUCUACCAUCAUGGCCGAUGCUUGAUAAAGGAGCUGGGUCUGGUGGUCUGUGUUGAACCCUCGAGCAUAUGCUACAUUAUCCAGGACAUCACUGCCAGAGAGGCCAUAUCUAGAAGAAAACAGAGAACGGUUUUAGACUGCAAAGAAAACUUAGAUUGGAAAUUAAUAGUAAAGAGAUUGCUUGAUUAGGUAAGAAGUGUUAAGGUUAAAGAAUAUUAAUUCCCUUUCUAUUAGAAAUCCAGGCAAACUAGAGAGAGAUGACCGGAGUCACUCCUUUGGGGUAGAUUGAUAGGACUUCAGGAUAAAUCAAAUUUAGUCUCUCAGGACUCCUGAGCCAAAACGAAUUUCCAAAUCAUGUUCCAAGUACUCUCCUGGAAAAACCAAUGCAACAUGACAGAACUGGAACUGAAACAAAAAUAACAAAGAUCAAUUAAAUUCAUAUAAAUUGAUGUUAUAGAGGAAUAAAACCUUUUUCUUCUUUUUUUUUAAGAGAGGGAGAGAGUAGGGGUGGGGGGCAGAGGGAGAGAAUCUACAGCAAGCCCUGUAGCCAGCACAGAGCCAGAUGUGGCAUUCAGUCUCACGACCCUGAGAUUAUGACAUGACUGAAAUCAAGAGUCAGAUGCUUCACCACAUGAACCACCCAGGCACCCCUAGGAAUAAAAGCUUCUAAACAAGUGGCUCAGUGGGUUAAGCUCUGCCUUCAGCUCGGGUCAUGAUCUCAAGGUCCAUGAUCCCAGGCACCCUUCACAAUCCAAUUUUAAAACAUUUCCAUCAUCCCCAAAAGAUCUUUCAACUUAGAUCCCAUUCUAACCAAGUACAUUUUCCAACAUUAUAAAAUAUAUUUUUCAUAUCAGCCAGAGUCUUUGUGCUUUUCUUAGCCACUUCACCUGCUGUUUUGGCCACCAUCAACACAAGCAGAAGUUUAGCUUUGGCAUUAAGUGGAUUGAUGAUCAUGAAUUAUUAAGUCUGGGCAUAAAGAUAAAGAGAAUAAGGAUAGAAGUUUACCUUGGAAUCUUGACCAAACAUAGAUUGCGGAUAAGGAGAAAAAAACUUCGAUAUUUAAAUCAUUGCUGUAAGAAAGAGAUUCAAGGGGCCUAAGUGCUGUAGCACACAAGUCUAGAUUUGUUCCAGAAACACUGAUACCAUCUGUCAGGAAAGGAGAUUAUCUUUAGCUAUCAGAAUAUGGAUGGUUGGGGCACCUGGGUGGCUCAGUGGGUCCUGGGAUCAAGCCCCACAUCGGGCACUCUGCUCAGCAGGGAGCCUGCUUCCCUCCUCUGUCUCACUGCCUGCCUCUCUGCCUAUUUGUGCUGUCAAAUAAAUAAACCUUAAAAAAAAAAAAAAAAAAAAGAAUGUGGAUGGUUUACCAGGAAAAAAAAAAAAGACUUAUCCUGGCCUUUAUGUCAGCAGCAUUCACAAAAAACACUAUAGAUCUCUUUGGUUACAUUCCUGAAGGAGCACAUGGAAUUUUCAAUUCCCACAAUGUGGAAAAAGCUGGCUAGAAAUAAACAUCAUCUCUCAUAUGUUUCCAGAACUUCCUUAAAGAAUAACAUGGAACACCUAUAAAAAAAAUUCCCAGGCCUGAGACUUAAUAAAUCAUAAUUUUCGGGGAAGAAAAAGGUUUUAUUCCUUUAUAACAACAAUUUAUAUGAAUUAAUCAUUAACACAUAAUGAAUUCUGUGUUAAUCUGUGUAGUUAACAAAUAACUUCAGGUGAUUCUUAACAUGUAAGUUUGAAAAAGAGCUAUACUGCCUCAAGAUGGGUUCUGGCAUUCUUUCAUAUGGGUUAAAAGAAGUUUCAAAAGAGAUGGUGACACUGGGCACCUGGGUGGCUCAGCUGGUUGAACAUCUGGCUCUAGAUUUCAGCUCAGGUCAUGAUCUCAUGGGUUGUGGAUUCGAGCCCCAUGUCAGGCUCCGUGCUCAGAAGGGAGUCUGCUUCAGAUUCUUUUUCUCCCUUUCCCUCUGCCCCUCCCAUCCUGGUCUCCCUAUAAUAAAUAAAACUUACAAAAAGAAAAGGUGGUGACACUGUGGCUAGCAAUUAUGGCCACAGUUCUUUAACUUUAGCUAUCAUCUCCUUCAUUGGAGAGCUUGAGAAAACAUUGCUGGACUGUAUCCUGAGUCUCUACAGUUUCUGAUUCAAUAGAUGGAAAGGAGUCAGAGGAUUUGUACUUCAAACAAAUUCCUAGGUGAUGCUAAAUACAGCUGUAUUGAGAACUGUGUUCUGAGAAGCCAUGAACUAGAAUAUAACCUGGAUUAGGUUGGGGUGGUCAAUAUUAUUCAAAAGGUAAAACUAAUGAGGGUUGUUCUGUUGUGAGGGGAAAUUAGCUAUUACCUUAAGGAGUUUGGUAACUUCCCCAAAACUAUAAACGCAAUAUAAUAAAUUCAAUUAUAAGAAAUGUUCUUGAUAGGCAAAAAUGAUAAAACUAAUGACAUUUCUCUUUAAACCUAUUUUUGCUAGGGGGACCUGGGUGGCUCAGUGGGUUGGGGCCUCUGCCUUCGGCUCGGGUCAUGAUCCCAGCGUACCAGGAUCGACCCCUGCAUCGGGCUCUCUGCUUGGCAGGAAGCCUGCUUCCUCCUCUCUCUUUCUCUGCCUACUUGUAAUCUCUGUCAGGUAAAUAAGUAAAAUCUUUAAAAAAAAGAAAAAAAAAACCAUAUUUUUCCUGUAGUUCCUGUAGUUGACAUAAACAUGGCUCCACUUAAUAAAUACUCCUUCAUUAAUGCUGUUUGCCCUUUUUUAGGGCUUAGGGAUACAGUCAGUGAGCAAAACAAAGCCCUGUCCUCAGAGGCAACAUUCUACUAUCUCAUCUAUCCUAUCUUAACACUCAUUUAGGUUAGUGGGCAAAACUUUUAAUGACUUUAUUAAAAAAAAAAAAACCCUCCACUAUUAAAACUAUACUUAAAAAUUAAAAGGGUGAUUAAAAAAAAAAAGAUUUUAUUUAUUUGACAGAGACACAGGGAGAGAGGGAACACAAGAAGAGGAGUAGGAAAAAAAAAAAAAAAAAAAAAAAAGAAGAGGAGUAGGAGAGGGAGAAGCAGCUUCCCGCUGAGUAGGGAACCCGAUGAGGGGCUCAAUCCCAGGACCCUGGGAUCAUGACCUGAGCCGAAGGCAAACACUUAAUGACUGAGCCACUCAGGUGCCCCAAAAAGUGUGAUUUCUGUACAAGAACAAAAAUAACUUUGGGAGGGAAGAUAACAGUUUAGUAUACUCAUCUUUAUUUAUUUUUUAAAGAUUUUAUGUAUUUAUUUGAGAGAGAGAGAGCCAGAGAAUACAAGCAAGGGGAGUGGCAGAGGGAAAGGAGAAGCAGGCUCCCUGCUGAGCAGAGAACCUGAUGUAGGGCUCUAUCCCAGGACCCUGGGAUCAUGAUCUGAACUGAAGGCAGAGGCUUAACUGACUGAGCCACCCAGGCACCCCAGUAUACUCUUCUUUAGAAACCUAAAAUCAGGUGCAAGAGAGGAAUUCUUUUUUCCUGACAGAUUCUGUAAGCACACGCAAAGAGCUGCACUUACUGUUCCAACUGAUAUUUUUGCCUCAAUGGUAUACAUUCAAUAGCUCAGAUUCCUCAAAUCGUAAACUGGGGCAGAUAAUUUGGUCAUAAUUCUAAAACUAAAAAGGAAAAUUCUCAACUUAGGCAAGUUCCAACUUGGGUCUGACAUCUCAACAUGCAAUUAAAUGAUAUUUAAUCACUAGAUUUCGGUAAAAUGUGUGGUAGGACAUAAUUAUCACAUUUUGCCCUAGACAAGGGAAAAUACGUUAAACAAAUUUGAGGGUUUAUUUGAAAGAUUAGGGAACAGAGAAAAUUAUAUAUUCUUUACCAGCUUUACUGAGGUAUUCUGUAUACCAUCAAAUCAAUCUGCUUUAAGUCUACAACUGAAUGACUUUUUAAAGUUUGUUUGUUUAUUUAUUUAUUUAUUUAUCAGAGAGAGAGAGAGAGAGAGAGAGUCGACAGUAGGGGUAGUGUCUGGCAGAGGGAGAAGCAGGCUCCAUGCUGAGCAAGGAGCCCAGUGUGAGACUCAGUUCCAGGAUGCUGCAAUCAUGACCUGAGCUGAAUGAAGAAGAUUAACCGACUGAGCCACUCAGGCAUCCCUGAAUGACUUUUUAAUAAUAAAAUCUGCAGAGUUGUACCAUCUUCAUCACAAUCCAAUUUUUUCCCCCAAGAUUUAUUUAUUUGACAGAGAUCACAAGUAGGCAGAGAGGCAGGCAGAGAGAGAGAGGAGGAAGCAGGCUCCCUGCUGAGCAGAGAGCCGGAUGUGGGGCUUGAUCCCCGGACCCUGUGAUCAUGAUCUGAGCCAAAGGCAGAGGCUUUAACCCACUGAGCCACCCAGGCACCCUUCACAAUCCAAUUUUAAAACAUUUCCAUCAUCCCCAAAAGAUCUUUCAAGUCUAUCUGUAGUUAUUCCUACUUCCUGCUCCAGGCAACCGCUAAUCCAUUGCUCUAUAGAUUUUCUCCUUCUGGGAAUUUCUUAUAAAUGAAAUCAUAAAAUAUACGAUCUUGUGUGUCUAGGUUCUAUUUAGUAUGUCUUCUGAGGCUCAUCUAUGGUAUGACAUGCAUGGGUACAUCAUUCCAUUUCACUGUUUAAUAGUACUCCACUGUAUGCAUAAAUCAGAUUUUGUUUAUUCAUCCAUCAGUUGAUGUGCAACUGGGUUAUUUCCAGUUUGGGGCUAUUAUAACAAUAUUAUAACAUCUACAAACAAGUCUCUAUGUGGGCACGUUUUCUUACCUCUUGGGCACAUAACCAGAGCCAAACUGCUCUGUUAUGUGGUAAUUUUAUAGUUAACUACCACACUGCUUUCCAUAGUGGCUUCACCAUUUUACAUUCUUACUAGCAAGGUAUUAGGGUUCCAGUUUCUCUAUAUCCUAAUACUUGUUACUGCCUAUUUUGUUACAGCCAUCCUAAUGGUGGUACCUCACUGUGGUUUUGUUUUUCCCCUUGACUAAUGAUGUUGAACAUCUUUUCAUGUGCUUCUAGGCCAUUUAUCGUCUUUGGAGAACAGCUGUAAAAAUCCUUUGCUCAUUUUUUAAUUGGGUUGUCUCUCUAUUGCUGGAUUAAGAGGACUUUGUAACUCUGGAUACUAAACCCUUCAGAAAUACGAUUUGCAAAUAUUUUCUCACAUCCUUUGGUUUGUCUUUUCACUUUCUUAAUAAUGUCCUUUGAAGCACAAAACUUCUAAAUUUUGAUGAAAUGAAAACUAUUUGAAAACUAUUAUCAAUGUUUUCUUUAAUGGAUGCUUUUUGGUGUUAUAUCUAAGAAAUCUACCUACCUCAAGCUCAACAAAUAUUUUCUCCUGCCCUUUUUUUCCCUGUAAGCUUUAUAGUUUUAUUCUUACAUUUACGACCAUGAUUUUUAAAAUAAUAAUAAAUAUACACGACAUACAAUUGACUAUUUUAAUCUUUUUAAAAAUGUAUAGUCCUAGGGGUGCCUGGGUGGCUCAG